UCGCCUACGGGGGGCUGCAGUGGGGAAUAUUGGACAAUGGGCGAAAGCCUGAUCCAGCAAUGCCGCGUGAGUGAUGAAGGCCUUAGGGUUGUAAAGCUCUUUUACCCGGGAUGAUAAUGACAGUACAGGGAGAAUAAGCUCCGGCUAACUCCGUGCCAGCAGCCGCGGUAAUACGGAGGGAGCUAGCGUUGUUCGGAAUUACUGGGCGUAAAGCGCGCGUAGGCGGAUUUUUAAGUCAGAGGUGAAAGCCCGGGGCUCAACCCCGGAACUGCCUUUGAAACUGGAAAACUUGAAUCUUGGAGAGGUCAGUGGAAUUCCGAGUGUAGAGGUGAAAUUCGUAGAUAUUCGGAAGAACACCAGUGGCGAAGGCGACUGACUGGACAAGUAUUGACGCUGAGGUGCGAAAGCGUGGGGAGCAAACAGGAUUCGAUACCCGAGUAGUC
rnacentral:rRNA from 1 species